UGGGGAAUAUUGCACAAUGGGCGCAAGCCUGAUGCAGCCAUGCCGCGUGUAUGAAGAAGGCCUUCGGGUUGUAAAGUACUUUCAGUCGGGAGGAAGGUGGUAAGGUUAAUAACCUUAUCAAUUGACGUUACCGACAGAAGAAGCACCGGCUAACUCCGUGCCAGCAGCCGCGGUAAUACGGAGGGUGCAAGCGUUAAUCGGAAUUACUGGGCGUAAAGCGCACGCAGGCGGUUGAUUGAGUCAGAUGUGAAAUCCCCGGGCUUAACCCGGGAAUUGCAUCUGAUACUGGUCAGCUAGAGUCUUGUAGAGGGGGGUAGAAUUCCAUGUGUAGCGGUGAAAUGCGUGGAGAUGUGGAGGAAUACCGGUGGCGUAGGCGGCCCCCUGGACAAAGACUGACGCUCAGGUGCGAAAGCGUGGGGAGCAAACAGG
rnacentral:rRNA from 1 species